rnacentral:rRNA from 1 species
GAUGAACGCUGGCGGCGUGCCUAAUACAUGCAAGUCGAGCGAACGGACGAGAAGCUUGCUUCUCUGAUGUUAGCGGCGGACGGGUGAGUAACACGUGGAUAACCUACCUAUAAGACUGGGAUAACCUCGGGAAACCGGAGCUAAUACCGGAUAAUAUUUUGAACCGCAUGGUUCAAAAGUGAAAGACGGUCUUGCUGUCACUUAUAGAUGGAUCCGCGCUGCAUUAGCUAGUUGGUAAGGUAACGGCUUACCAAGGCAACGAUGCAUAGCCGACCUGAGAGGGUGAUCGGCCACACUGGAACUGAGACACGGUCCAGACUCCUACGGGAGGCAGCAGUAGGGAAUCUUCCGCAAUGGGCGAAAGCCUGACGGAGCAACGCCGCGUGAGUGAUGAAGGUCUUCGGAUCGUAAAACUCUGUUAUUAGGGAAGAACAUAUGUGUAAGUAACUGUGCACAUCUUGACGGUACCUAAUCAGAAAGCCACGGCUAACUACGUGCCAGCAGCCGCGGUAAUACGUAGGUGGCAAGCGUUAUCCGGAAUUAUUGGGCGUAAAGCGCGCGUAGGCGGUUUUUUAAGUCUGAUGUGAAAGCCCACGGCUCAACCGUGGAGGGUCAUUGGAAACUGGAAAACUUGAGUGCAGAAGAGGAAAGUGGAAUUCCAUGUGUAGCGGUGAAAUGCGCAGAGAUAUGGAGGAACACCAGUGGCGAAGGCGACUUUCUGGUCUGUAACUGACGCUGAUGUGCGAAAGCGUGGGGAUCAAACAGGAUUAGAUACCCUGGUAGUCCACGCCGUAAACGAUGAGUGCUAAGUGUUAAGGGGUUCCGCCCCUUAGUGCUGCAGCUAACGCAUUAAGCACUCCGCCUGGGGAGUACGACCGCAAGGUUGAAACUCAAAGGAAUUGACGGGGACCCGCACAAGCGGUGGAGCAUGUGGUUUAAUUCGAAGCAACGCGAAGAACCUUACCAAAUCUUGACAUCCUUUGACAACUCUAGAGAUAGAGCUUUCCCCUUCGGGGGACAAAGUGACAGGUGGUGCAUGGUUGUCGUCAGCUCGUGUCGUGAGAUGUUGGGUUAAGUCCCGCAACGAGCGCAACCCUUAAGCUUAGUUGCCAUCAUUAAGUUGGGCACUCUAAGUUGACUGCCGGUGACAAACCGGAGGAAGGUGGGGAUGACGUCAAAUCAUCAUGCCCCUUAUGAUUUGGGCUACACACGUGCUACAAUGGACAAUACAAAGGGCAGCGAAACCGUGAGGUCAAGCAAAUCCCAUAAAUUUGUUCUCAGUUCGGAUUGUAGUCUGCAACUCGACUACAUGAAGCUGGAAUCGCUAGUAAUCGUAGAUCAGCAUGCUACGGUGAAUACGUUCCCGGGUCU